rnacentral:lncRNA from 7 species
AGCGUUUUCAUGCCCUUUGUGGAGAUAUCCGACCUAGGAUAUAAAUCAUGUGGUUUAUAUUAUAUUUUAAAGGAAAGUUGUUUAUAUGGAUUACAAGUGUUGUAUAUGCAUGAAAUAUUGUUGCUUCUGCUUUUGAUUAGUAAUCUCAAUGGGAUGACGUAAAAUCAAUGCUAGCCACUCUUUCUUUCUUCUCUGACGCACCCACUUUCCACUUCGUAGGAAGAGGAAACACAAGAAAAAAUUUCACUACAUCAACAUAAUGU